rnacentral:rRNA from 1 species
CGCGUAGGUGGCCUUCUAAGUCGAACGUGAAAUCCCUGGGCUCAACCCAGGAACUGCGUCCGAUACUGGAAGGCUUGAAUCCGGGAGAGGGAUGCGGAAUUCCAGGUGUAGCGGUGAAAUGCGUAGAUAUCUGGAGGAACACCGGUGGCGAAGGCGGCAUCCUGGACCGGCAUUGACGCUGAGGCGACGAAAGCUAGGGAGCAAACG